rnacentral:lncRNA from 1 species
GGGUAGUCAUCCUUGGGCAAUAGAUCACCAUGUUGAAUUGUUGUAGAUUAGACAUCCACUUUUGUAUCAAGCCUAUUGCAACUUAAAUUGGGUGUGGAGAAACUAAAGUGAGUUAUGAUCUGUGUGCAUAAUUUUUUUUUUGCCUAGCAAAUAUGAGCUAAUGCAUCAUGGCCCGAUGUAAAGCAUACAACCUUUGUCAUAUAUUGGAUAAUUCAGCUAUGAUCCUUGGAACAUU